rnacentral:rRNA from 1 species
AUUGAACGCUGGCGGCAUGCCUUACACAUGCAAGUCGAACGGCAGCACGGGUGCUUGCACCUGGUGGCGAGUGGCGAACGGGUGAGUAAUACAUCGGAACAUGUCCUGUAGUGGGGGAUAGCCCGGCGAAAGCCGGAUUAAUACCGCAUACGAUCUACGUAUGAAAGCGGGGGACCUUCGGGCCUCGCGCUAUAGGGUUGGCCGAUGGCUGAUUAGCUAGUUGGUGGGGUAAAGGCCUACCAAGGCGACGAUCAGUAGCUGGUCUGAGAGGACGACCAGCCACACUGGGACGGAGACACGGCCCAGACUCCUACGGGAGGCAGCAGUGGGGAAUUUUGGACAAUGGGCGAAAGCCUGAUCCAGCAAUGCCGCGUGUGUGAAGAAGGCCUUCGGGUUGUAAAGCACUUUUGUCCGGAAAGAAAUCCUUGGCCCUAAUACGGUCGGGGGAUGACGGUACCGGAAGAAUAAGCACCGGCUAACUACGUG